CCUACGGGUGACAGCAGUGAGGAAUAUUGGUCAAUGGACGAGAGUCUGAACCAGCCAAGUAGCGUGAAGGAUGACUGCCCUAUGGGUUGUAAACUUCUUUUAUAUGGGAAUAAAAUGGUCCACGUGUGGGAUUUUGUAUGUACCAUAUGAAUAAGGAUCGGCUAACUCCGUGCCAGCAGCCGCGGUAAUACGGAGGAUCCGGGCGUUAUCCGGAUUUAUUGGGUUUAAAGGGAGCGUAGGUGGAUUGUUAAGUCAGUUGUGAAAGUUUGCGGCUCAACCGUAAAAUUGCAGUUGAAACUGGCAGUCUUGAGUACAGUAGAGGUGGGCGGAAUUCGUGGUGUAGCGGUGAAAUGCUUAGAUAUCACGAAGAACUCCGAUUGCGAAGGCAGUUCACUGGACUGCAACUGACACUGAGGCUCGAAAGUGUGGGUAUCAAACAGGAUUAGAUACCCCUGUAGUC
rnacentral:rRNA from 1 species